AUGUAUAAGUGUAACCUGCCAGACAGGGAAACUGCGUACGGCUCAUUACACCAGCUAUAAUUUACUUGACCUUGACUUCUUACUUGGAUAACUGUGGUAAUUCUAGAGCUAAUACAUGCACCAAAGCUCCAAUCUUCCCAGAGCGGAGCGCAUUUGUUCGCCACAAAACCAAGCGCCUUCGGGCGUCCAGUGUUGACUCAGAACAACUAAGCUGAUCGCACGGUCUUGCACCGGCGACGUGUCUUUCAAGUGUCUGCCUUAUCAACUUUCGAUGGUAGUGUACCUGACUACCAUGGUGAUGACGGGUAACGGAGGAUAAGGGUUCGACUCCGGAGAAGGGGCCUGAGAAAUGGCCACUACGUCUAAGGAUGGCAGCAGGCGCGCAAAUUACCCACUCUCAACAUGAGGAGGUAGUGACGAGAAAUAACGAGACCGAUCUCUUAUGAGGCCGGUCAUCGGAAUGGGUACAAUUUAAACCCUUUAACGAGUAUCUAUGAGAGGGCAAGUCUGGUGCCAGCAGCCGCGGUAAUUCCAGCUCUCAAAAUGCAUAGAAUUAUUGCUGCGGUUAAAAAGCUCGUAGUUGGAUCUGUGCUAGUCGACCGGUCCACCCACUGGGUGCGCACUGGUUCGGUUGGCUUUUCUGCCGGUCUCUCCCCGGCGUUGGCCUUCACUGGUCGGCGUCGGUGGGCUGGCGAGUUUACUUUGAACAAAUCAGAGUGCUUCAAACAGGCGUUUCGCUUGAAUGUUCGUGCAUGGAAUAAUAGAAGAGGAUUUCGGUCCGAUUUUAUUGGUUUUGCUGACCGAGAUAAUGGUUAACAGAGACAAACGGGGCCAUUCGUAUUGCUACGUGAGAGGUGAAAUUCUUGGACCGUAGCAAGACGGACUACAGCGAAAGCAUUUGGCAAGAAUGUCUUCAUUAAUCAAGAACGAAAGUCAGAGGUUCGAAGGCGAUCAGAUACCGCCCUAGUUCUGACCGUAAACGAUGCCAACUAGCGAUCCGCCGGCGGAUUCAUUCGCCCUGGUGGGGAGCUUCCCGGAAACGAAAGUCUUCCGGUUCCGGGGGAAGUAUGGUUGCAAAGCUGAAACUUAAAGGAAUUGACGGAAGGGCACCACCAGGAGUGGAGCCUGCGGCUUAAUUUGACUCAACACGGGGAAACUCACCCGGCCCGGACACCGUAAGGAUUGACAGAUUGAUAGCUUUUUCAUGAUUCGGUGGAUGGUGGUGCAUGGCCGUUCUUAGUUCGUGGAGCGAUUUGUCUGGUUUAUUCCGAUAACGAGCGAGACUCUAGCCUACUAAAUAGUUGGCUCAUUGCAGCUGUGGGCACAACUUCUUAGAGGGAUUUUCGGUGUUCAGCCGCACGAAAUUGAGCAAUAACAGGUCUGUGAUGCCCUUAGAUGUCCGGGGCUGCACGCGCGCUACACUGGCAAAAUCAGCGUGCUUGUCCUUCCCCGAAAGGGGUUGGUAAACCGGUGAAAAUUUGCCGUGAUUGGGAUCGGACAUUGCAAUUAUUGUCCGUGAACGAGGAAUUCCUUGUAGGGGCGAGUCAUCGACUCGCUCUGAAUACGUCCCUGCCCUUUGUACACACCGCCCGUCGCUGCCCGGGACUGAGCCAUUUCGAGAAACUCGGGGACGAUUAUGCGUGUCGGCUUCGGUCGUCGCGUUGAUUGAAACCGAUUUAAUCGCAGUGGCUUGAACCGGGC
rnacentral:rRNA from 1 species